rnacentral:rRNA from 1 species
AACGAACGCUGGCGGCAGGCUUAACACAUGCAAGUCGAGCGCCCCGCAAGGGGAGCGGCAGACGGGUGAGUAACGCGUGGGAAUCUACCCAUCUCUACGGAAUAACGCAUGGAAACGUGUGCUAAUACCGUAUACGUCCUUCGGGAGAAAGAUUUAUCGGAGAUGGAUGAGCCCGCGUUGGAUUAGCUAGUUGGUGGGGUAAAGGCCUACCAAGGCGACGAUCCAUAGCUGGUCUGAGAGGAUGAUCAGCCACACUGGGACUGAGACACGGCCCAGACUCCGACGGGAGGCAGCGGUGGGGAAUAUUGGACAAUGGGCGCAAGCCUGAUCCAGCCAUGCCGCGUGAGUGAUGAAGGCCUUAGGGUUGUAAAGCUCUUUCGCUGGGGAAGAUAAUGACUGUACCCAGUAAAGAAGCCCCGGCUAACUCCGUGCCAGCCGCCGCGGUAAAAC